AACGUAGGUGGCGAGCGUUAUCCGGAUUUACUGGGCGUAAAGGGUGUGCAGGCUGCCCGUCAAGUGGAGUAUGAAAGUGCCCGGCUCAACCGGGCUUGGUUAUGCCAGACUGACGGGCUAGAGAGCGAGAGCGGGACGUGGAAUUCCGGGUGUAGUGGUGAAAUGCGUAGAGAUCCGGAGGAACCCCAGAGGCGAAGGCGGCGUCCUGGCUCGCAUCUGACGCUCAGACACGACAGCAUGGGGAGCGAACGGG
rnacentral:rRNA from 1 species